UACGUAGGGUGCGAGCGUUGUCCGGAAUUACUGGGCGUAAAGAGCUCGUAGGUGGUUUGCCACGUCGUCUGUGAAAUUCCGGGGCUUAACCUCGGGCGUGCAGGCGAUACGGGCAAUACUUGAGUGCUGUAGGGGAGACUGGAAUUCCUGGUGUAGCGGUGAAAUGCGCAGAUAUCAGGAGGAACACCAAUGGCGAAGGCAGGUCUCUGGGCAGUUACUGACGCUGAGGAGCGAAAGCAUGGGUAGCGAACAGGAUUAGA
rnacentral:rRNA from 1 species